CAGUCGCCGCGGGAAUACGGAGGGUGCAAGCGUUACUCGGAAUCACUGGGCGUAAAGGACGCGUAGGCGGAUUAUCAAGUCUCUUGUGAAAUCUAACGGCUUAACCGUUAAACUGCUUGGGAAACUGUUAAUCUAGAGUAAGGGAGAGGCAGAUGGAAUUCUUGGUGUAGGGGUAAAAUCCGUAGAUAUCAAGAAGAAUACCUAUUGCGAAGGCGAUCUGCUGGAACUUAACUGACGCUAAUGCGUGAAAGCGUGGGGAGCAAACGGGAUUAGAGACCCCUGUAGUCCCUGUCUCUUAUAU
rnacentral:rRNA from 1 species